rnacentral:rRNA from 1 species
UUCGGAAUAACUGGGCGUAAAGGGCGCGUAGGCGGUCUAUCCAGUUGGGCGUGAAAGCCCUGGGCUCAACCCAGGAAUUGCGUUCAAUACUAAUAGACUAGAGACCGAGAGAGGAUAGUGGAAUUCCAGUGUAGAGGUGAAAUUCGUAGAUAUUGGAAAGAACACCAGUGGCGAAAGCGGCUAUCUGGCUCGGAACUGACGCUGAGGCGCGAAAGCGUGGGGAGCAAACAGGAUUAGAUACCCUGGUAGUCCUAGCUGUAAACGAUGGAUACUAGACGUGGGAACUGGAUUGACGGUUUCUGUGUCGUAGCUAACGCGUUAAGUAUCCCGCCUGGGGAGUACGGUCGCAAGACUAAAACUCAAAGGAAUUGACGGGACCCCGCACAAGCGGCGGAGCAUGCGGCUUAAUUCGAUGAUACCCGUAGAACCUUACCUGGACUUGACAUAUAGGGUCAAGCUAUAGAGAUAUAGUGUGCAUUAGCGCCCUAUACAGGUGGUGCAUGGCU